rnacentral:rRNA from 1 species
UACGGAGGGUGCGGGCGGUAUCCGGAAUUACUGGGUUUAAAGGGUGCGUAGGCGGCUAUGUAGGGCAGGAGUGAAAGUUUGCGGCUCAACCGUAAAAUUGCUUUUGAUACUGCAUGGCUGGAAUCAGGAUGAGGUCAGCGGAAUGUGGCAUGUAGCGGUGAAAUGCAUAGAUAUGCCAUAGAACACCAAUUGCGAAGGCAGCUGGCUAGACCUGUAUUGACGCUGAGGCACGAAAGCGUGGGGAGCGAACAGG